rnacentral:rRNA from 1 species
CGCGAAUAGCUCAUUACAACAGCCUUAGUUUAUUGGAUCUUAGAGUCCUACUUGGAUAACUGUGGUAAUUCUAGAGCUAAUACACGCAAUUAAUCCUCAACCUUACGGGCGAGGAGCAUUUAUUAGAACAAAACCAAUCGGCUUCGGCCGUAUCUGGUGAAUCUGAAUAACUACGCUGAUCGCAUGGUCUCGUACCGGCGACAUAUCCUUCAAGUGUCUGCCUUAUCAACUGUCGAUGGUAGUUUACACGCCUACCAUGAUUGUAACGGGUAACGGAGAAUAAGGGUUCGACUCCGGAGAGGGAGCCUGAGAAACGGCUACCACAUCCAAGGAAGGCAGCAGGCGCGCAAAUUACCCACUCUCAGAACGAGGAGGUAGUGACGAAAAAUAACGAGACAGUUCUCUAUGAGGUCUGUCAUCGGAAUGGGUACAAUUUAAACCCUUUAACGAGGAUCUAUUGGAGGGCAAGUCUGGUGCCAGCAGCCGCGGUAAUUCCAGCUCCAAUAGCGUAUAUUAAAGUUGUUGCGGUUAAAAAGCUCGUAGUUGGAUCUGCGGUCGUAGACUCUGGUUCCCUCCUAGGGAUACUAGCUGUCUCGACCUACCUUGUUAGAUUUCCCUUGGUGCUCUUUACUGAGUGCCUUGGGUGUCUAGCUCGUUUACUUUGAAAAAAUUAGAGUGCUUAAAGCAGGCAUUUGCCUGAAUAGUGGUGCAUGGAAUAAUGGAAUAGGACCUCGGUUCUAUUUUGUUGGUUUUCGGAGCAUGAGGUAAUGAUUAAGUGGGACAGACGGGGGCAUUCGUACUGCUACGUUAGAGGUGAAAUUCUUGGAUCGUAGCAUGACGAACAACUGCGAAAGCAUUUGCCAAGAAUGUUUUCAUUAAUCAAGAACGAAAGUUAGAGGUUCGAAGGCGAUCAGAUCCCGCCC